rnacentral:tRNA from 1 species
GGAGGUGUAGCUCAGUGGUAGAGUGCUUGCCUAGCAUUUGCAUGGCCCUGGGUUCCAUCCCCAGCACUGCAA